rnacentral:tRNA from 1 species
GGGCUGGGGCUCAGUGGUAGAGCAUUCUCCUAGCACGAGUGAAGCCCUGGGUUCGAUCCUCAGCACCUCA